UUGAACUCAGAGAUCUGUCUGCCUCUGCCUCCCAAGUGCUGGAAUUAAAGGCAUGUGUCACCACACCUGGCUCAUGUCUUGAAUAUUGCAGUGGUCAAGGCCAAUGGCAGACCUUGUUUAGAAGUCUGGGAGGAAGAUGGCUGGCCCAGGAACCUGUGUGAGAAAGUCUUCUGUCAACCUCUGCUCUACUAUGGAGAUCCUGGGGUAACAGAGGGUGAGGACUCAUAGCACCAAAAGAUGCUCUCCAAUUCAAAUGUGUUAUCUAUGCAUUUGAGUUUCACCAUGACCAUCUGUAACAAUUACAUCAAAGUAGUUAGUAUUUUCAUCACUUCACACAUCAUUUCUACAUCUGGGGAACCUUAAGACUUCUCUGAUUAUGUGCAAUGUGUACAAUAACCAUAGACUAGCAUAGAUUGUAGUCACCUGCGCUGCAGAGCUUUAGAAGCAACUCUUCUUACCUGUGUGUACUUUGGUCUGAAUUUGCCUGUCUGUUGCUCUAGGUACAAUAUACGAUGGAUAUGGUGGUACCCAGGAAACUGAUGCAAUAAGAACCUAGUGGAAGUUAAAGUUCCAGACUCCCCUGCACUCCUGGCUGUGUGUUAGAUGGAUGUCCAUGUGUUAGAUUUGCAAAGAUAGCAAUGGCUUUUAUAAGGCUCUGACCCAUCCCCCACACCUAUCCCACAGUUUGCUUGUGGUUGGGUGCACACAGGAGACAUGAGCACAGGUGUGGCAAGGAGUCAGUUCAGUUUUCUGUGGCUCAGCAGUGUGCUGGCUAUUGUGAAGGAGGGGAAGACACAUCCAACUCUUCUGGCUUCAGCUGGGUUCUCUGCUGAGGAAUCCAGGAGUCCUGCCCACUUUCUUCCAGGAUUCUUUGGCUUCUUUUCCUUUGUUUUAGGGACAGCAUGCCUCAGGACUGGUGACAAUGUCAGGGAGUCCAGCUCCCUCUCCUGACAAAGAGAAGCCUCCCAGGCACUGCAGUGAAGCAGGGGAGGAAGAGUCCUCAGUGGUUACUGUGUCUUUGGAUUAAGGAGUGUGACCACGUGUUCAGGAGCUCUGGACAGGCAAGGGGAGGCAAGAGCCUUGUUUUACACGAUUCCUUCUUUCUGUCUUCAAGUACGGGGUAUUGGAAAGGCAAGCAUAUGGCAGGGCCAUCUGGCUCCCUUGGGGCAAACCGAGGUUCUGCAAAGUCACCAAGCUCUUUGCUCCAGGUGUGAUCACGGGCUUCUGUGUCCCUGUUUCUGGAUUCAUGAGGACAAGACCAUUUCAGGCCCCAGAAGAAGAAGGAGCUGGGAAAGAAGACAGAUGGCUGGUGAAAUUUUCACAGUGGACAGCACACUGCUGCACAGCGGUGCCUGAGCCAUGAAGACGAUGGGAGCAGCUUGAAUCUGCAGUGGCAGUCCCACCUUCUGUGAACCAUAUUUUCAUUAGGCUACUGAGAACAGAUGUCAUAUCUACUUUGAUGUCCUCAUCCACUUCAUCAACAUCUGGAUCAUCAUGAAGUCUGUUGGUUGUAUUUUAUAAUUCUUUGUAUAUUGAAUAAUUUUGUUGUAUAGCCAGAUAUUGUGAAUUUUAUUAUAUGAAGACCUUGAAUUUUAUUAUAUCCCUCCAAAGACUGUUAGUUUUGUUUAGAAUGCAAAUAACUUGGCUAGACCCAUAUUGCCAACUAGCUCUUGAGAGGGAACUUAAAUCUUAGAUCCAUUUUUUAGGACUUUAUGGGGCUCAGGACACAGUCAGAUCUGAUGUACAGGAUUUGGAUUCCUUUGUCUGGCUCUGUCCUUCUUGGAAUAUCCCCUCAUUUUGCAAAGACUUAGAUAAUCCUAAAUGAUACGUUUUAACCCACCCCAAAGCUGGCAUCAGGUUUUCUGCUGGAGUUUCAGCCAUCCUGUAACAGGGAGGCAGGUGCUACCUGCAUGCCAGAAUCCUGUAGUUGAGAAAUGUACCCAGGGCAGACCCUUUCUUUUUCCUGUCAAAUCCCUUCCAAAAUCCACCUCUGUUUAUUCUCCAGAACUUCAAAUAGCUGCUUAGUAUAUUUAUCCAGACAUGAAAUUAUUAUUAUCUGUGAGAAGGGUCUGACAGUCACCUAGUUACCCUAAAAAAAAAUUCUUCCUUACUUCCUGUAGAUUUAAACUUUUAAACAUUUGUUGUUAGUAGGUAC